CAUUGGUUGGGGGUGAGGGGGUGGGAUCAAGGGCGUGGCUGAGAGAUGUGAAAACCGGGAGAAAAACGCUUGGAGACAAUGCACGGACCUCAGGUGUUUCGCUGAGGCCAGGGCGGGAGAUACAGAGUUGAUCCGCACCUGGGGUGAGCAUCGGCCACGUUGUCCCCAAGCACAGAUGGUGCCAGGUGAUGCCCGGCAUCUUCUGUCCUGAAGAACUGAAACCUCCCCUGCCCAGGGGUACAAGCGUUGUCUCGCUCCAGCCCCCACCAACCUCCUGGACUACUCGAGUAUGCUGCAGGACCCCGAGUUCCCUGCCCCACAGUCUGCGUGGACAUUUCCUCAAGGACAGCUGUUGCCAGGUAAUCUGCCUGCAAUGCAGAAGUCACAGGAGAUGCGUGUUUGAUCCCUGGGUUGAGAAGAUUCCCUGGAAGAUGUCAUGACAACCCACUCCAGUACUCUUGCCUGGAAAAUUCCAUGGACAGAGGAGCCUGGCGGGCUACAUCCAUGGGGUCACAGAGCAUCAGACCUGACUUAGCGACUCAAAAAUGAACAACAAAGCUUGAUUAUAACUUAAAUAU
ensembl:lncRNA